AUUUGCUGCCAGACGAUUAACACAAAAGUGCCUGUGUGCAACUGAAUUGGAACAGAGACAGUUUUCUGAAAGACCGAAUAUUCUCGAGUACAGUCGGUUAAACUUAAACGAGUGCUGAUGAUACGAGCGCAACAAUCAGCCCAAAGUAUAUAGGAAUGUACACCGAAUUCGGCAUUCAAAUUGCUAGUUAUUUCCAUACUAUUCACAUAUUGUGUCCCAAAAAUCAGUGAUGACUGCUUGCCGCUUUCGUGGAAGGCACAAAAGGUCCCACAUGAGAAGGGUUUCGCAACGGAUCAUGAUCUAUUUCCCAUGCGUG